CAGCCUUUUUCAAACCGAUUACUCCUGGAUCGGCCGGGUUCCAGGCGUUUCGGGUCUUAGAGAUAGGAGUUUGGAGAUCCGGAGCUCGAAGCCGUUAAUCCAAGCCUUGAGAUCUGGUAGAUAAAUGGACACACUCUUCAAUAAGUCGAGAUAUUUUGCAUAACAAGGUGCAGAAAUAAAUUAAUCAUGAUUGAAACGCAAAUUUUAUUUUUUUAUAACGGAUGUUAAGGCCAGCUUAUCCGCAAUUUCGGGGGCCUGGGCCUGAAGGUAACGACCGGAAGGUUUGGGAUGGUCGAACCUCAUGGUCAAGCACUUAUUGCUUUUUCAUGUUCACUUUGUCGACCCCAAGGGGUUGGAACGCAAAAUUUUAAUAUGAGCAAGUGCAAAAUAAGCCAAAUAAUUUGACUUUUUUGCUUGUUUUUGCUCUAUACAAAUUUGAGUUUGAAUCAUUAUAUUUUACCUUUUCAUUCCUUUAGUCGAGACAAAAGAAUAGUCGAUAAAUAUUGGACAUGCAACUAAUAAAUGCUAAAAACUGCCAAAUUUCAUUACUUCCUACUGCUUUUAUUUCCUGAUGGUGGAGUUUUAAUCUACCAUCGCAUACCAUAAGACUGAAGCUUGACACUGGAGAUAGUUCCAUUCACAAAAAGUGGUUGGAGGUGGCGACUGAUAGUGAUUGGAUGUGGGAGGGUGUAGUGAGUAAUGGAUGUAUUAUGUGAGGACUUGCGCGUAAUAGGGACAUGUUGGUUUGGUUUUUGAUAAAAGAAGUUUAGGAGCUUAAGAAUUUUUCGGAUGGACUAAACGUUGGAGCUUAAGAGUAAAUACUUCAUUGAUUGUUAAUUCUUUGGGUUUAGCACAACAAUUUAGCUGGUUUUUUAAGAUUGAAAUAGUUUUGUGGCAACCUGUUGAACUUGUCUUUCUUGUCCAAUUUUCAUAACAUUGCUGGUGAGCCACCAUCUAGCCUAGUCUUCUUCUAAGAAUUGGGAAGCUAGUUAAAAUAUUUAUUACUUGGAGUCUUGGACAAGUUUUGAACCGGCAAAGGUCCAUUAUUUGAAACUGUUAUCUCUAUAUUGGCACCUACCAAUAUAACCUGCUAGUAAAACAGUCAACUGUCAAGCUUUUAAAAAACAUGGCUUGUGAUUUUGUCGCGUGAUGACUUGUGUCUAGAUUAGGAAACUUCAAUGAAGCCUUUAUUUGUUACUCAUUGAUUGGACCAUGCAUCAGUCUUAUACGAUUGCAAUACCUUUGGGAUUGUCACAUUCUUACCUAAUACCUACCUUUUUACUCCUUUAUGAACUCCCAUUCCUUUGGAGGAGAAUGAGAGAGGAAAAGAGGGAGAAGGACAAGAGAGGUGAAGUUCCAUUCAGAUGGUAUGCUAAUGAGGAGCUACGCAGACUCGAGACAUAUAUAUUAUUUUAAUGCUAGCCUGAGGUAUUCUCGUAAAAAAUGGGUACAUGCAUAAAUUCAAGAAGAAAGGACACCAUUUUAUGGCAUAGCAAAACUUUGACAUGCUUUUGUGGUCAAGAGAGUAACUUAAUUUGUAAUAGUGAAAUCUGAAAUUUAGUAAUGGUGUGAGCCUUGUGCACUGGAACUGCACUUGGUUAAUUUUUUUGCUUAAAUCUUAGUAUGUCUCAAACAUUUUUCAAAUUUAAUAAAUUAAACUUUCAAUAGCACAUCAUUGGCUACCUAAUUUAAUGCCAUCGUACUGCAUGCACAGCCAUCGCUGGCCAAAAUGCGAGAUUAAGCUGUGUUUCUGAUGGAUAUGUUCUCUGGUAUUGUGACCCCAGCUUGAACUUCAAUUAUGCAACUGCAGUUGCUACCUCCACUGACAUCAGCACCAUCCAAAUCUAGGCACUAACCUCUCUCAUCAACUUCAGUGUCUCCAUCCUAAUUGCCCUUUAUCUAUGGUGUGUUGAGCGAUAUCUUGCCUAACACAAUAAUUAACAUCAAUGUCACAUGACUUAAACUUUUCAGUUGUUGGCAGUAAACUCUUUUAGCUAACUUCUCUCAUCUGCUUCUGUCCGUCCGUCCAGAGCUGCUGUAGCCUCCACUUAAUCAAUCACUAUCUUCCCAUUACUAACAAAAUUUAUUGUCAUCCUCUAGGCCUUUUUAUUGUGUGUGAUGAUGUUUUUUGAGAUGCUGUUUUCUUUGCUGUAACUGGGGAAAUAGAUGAAUAUGGAAGAUAAAGAAAAGAAAAACUUUUGUAUGAUGCAGAACAAAUAGAGGAACAUGGAAAAGAAAAAGAAAUGAAAAAUGGUACAACACCAAUAUAAUCUUCAGUUUCUUUUUUUGGUCUAAGUUUCUUUAUAUGUACUUUAAGAUAUUGGUGUGGUGAUUUUGGCAACUAUUUGUUGGAUUUUUAUUCCAAGGAAAUUGAUUGUUGCGGCAUUAUGCCCCUUGUAAUAAAAUGUUCCAAGAUCUUCUACCAGAAUGGCAAGGUUUUUCUGCUCCUAUUGGCAGUGAUGUCCAUCGUCAUAUCUUUGUGCGCUUCUGUCCUCUAUGUUCUUUUGUUGGAAGGUUGUUUAAAUUCAGUUGGCCAUUUAGUCUCCUUUUGUUUUGACGUGUCAGAAAUCUUUGCGCAUGUGAUGAACAAAAGGUUGGUAAAGUGUUUUCCUAUCCCAUAACCUAUAGCAUGUGAAUGCUUUGAUUGUGUUCCUCAUUUUCAUUAUGAAUUCCUUGUCUUAUAGUUUCAUCCAUGCCAUCAUCCCAUCGUUGAAGGACUCAAUUUUUGCUCCUUUCAUGACUUUGUACUUGGAUAUGUAUAUGGUUGUUGUAGUUCCCUUUUAGUACUAUGUUUUCCCAUUUUAGUUUUGGUUAUUUUUGUAGCUAAUUUUGAAUGAUACAAUUUUAUUUGGGGCACAAUAUGAUUUGUGUAUUAACUCAUUGAUAAUUAUUCCACUUCUAAGUGUUAGUUGUGACCUGACAAUGGUAGUCAUGAUCCUUUGCCAGAAUAGUGGUUCUGGCAUAAUAUUUGGUUAUUAUUGUCUGGAGUUCUCUAUAGUUGGUUGUUGAACAACUGAAUCCUAGAAGUGUAUGUUUAUUUUCUGUCUGUGUCAUUUUUGUAUUCUGCAUGUUUUGUUUUAAACCAUAGUUUUCUUAUUGCUCUUUGGCUUUCUUUGAUUGUGUAGCAAAACUCUUUUUCAUGGCUUUAGUUUGCUUUUUAUGUUUUCUAAUUCAAAGAUAUCAAUGAUGUGACUUGUCAUAACAAGCAUGGUACUUUGUGUUGAUAAGUUUACAAAUUUUCAUCAUAUGUAUAAGCACAAACGAGUUUAAUGGCAAAAAACUAGGAUCCCAUAAAUGAGUACUACCGCGUACUAAAAGUACAAAAAAUUUAGUUUCUUACCAUCAUCGUCCUUUCAUAGCUCUUGAGUCUUGACAUGAAAUUCUCCAACUUUGGAACAGUAGCAAUAUACAGUUGAAUGGGAGUCCUUAUGACGGUGCCACAAUGUAAAGUGAGAUAAUCAUGUGAGAAAUCUACACAAAUACCAUCCAUGAACAAAAUAGAUUAUGUUCAAAAUUUCUAAGAGAAAAAUAAAGUUAUUAAGCCAAGAGAGACGUACUUGAGUAGUUAGGAGAGUAAGACUUGCAGUGCAAUAGUGAUAUCUUCAAAGAAACAGUCCCUUUAGUACCAUGAUAUAUGUAGAGGCAGGAUAGUGAUGGCAAGAGCAUAAGACCAAUAUCAGGAAACUUUUUAAACGCCAAAAUCAGCUCCUUGUAGACAAAAAUGUAAGAAAAAAUAAUAGGGCUUCAAUUUGCCAAAUUUGGGAAAACUGUCAUAUCAGUCAACAAGAAUGUGAUACAAUUUCUAAAAUAAGAAACAAUGAUGCGGAAACCUGAUGUAGUGUUAUACUCUUUGUAGUUUAGAUACGGAGAUGAUUGUUAUAAAAUCCUUUAAAAAUGGACAGUGAUGCUUGUAAGUUGUAGAAAGAAUCAGUUUCAUGCACAUUAUGUUAGAAAAACGUUUAGUCUAGUUUAUAAUCUAUAUACUUCUACUUAUAAUUGCAUAAAUGUAAUAUAUCAUGACAACUACCAUAUAUAAUAUAUAUUCCUACUUCCUUUCCCACCCACAUUUUUUUUAUCAUUAUUAUCGUGUCUAUCCUUAUUAUACUUGUUAAUUGAAUACUUUGCUACGUGGUAGUCAAGGAGAUUAUUGUACAUGUGUUCGAAAAUGACAUGAGACCUCCUUUUAGUGACCAUGCUAUGAGAGGGCUAAAGGGCAAAGAACUUGCAUUAUUGCAUCAUUUAGAUGCAUUUCGAUAGAAACAAAAUUAUAAGAAAAAUCUAAUCUUAGCAAUUAAUCAUUUAUACAUAAGCAAAUACUGCAGUACAAUACAUGUAACCCUCACUAGUAACAACUGGACACAAAGGACUAUGAACUACAAUUUAAGGUCCCAUAAAUCAUGUCCACGCAAGAAUAUUCAUAUUUUUCAUUCAAAAUGUUUGAUAUGUAAAAAAAGGGAAUUUUGGCUUCUUUCUUUUUUAUGAGGAAGCUGAUUUUAAGCAGCACAAUUACUAUCUGUUACUAUAGGUGAAUUCUACCUCCCAUUUCAAAUACCUUUUAAUUUAAAACCAGUAGAAAAGACAAUGCAUAACAUAAAAAGGCAAAAACAUAUUGGAAAUACCUCAUAAGUCGCUGAAACAAUGGAGCGACAUAGACAUAAUCGGACCGAUCACCUAUGAGGAAAUCCUUCACGUUGCCAACAAAGUAAUCUACGAGGGUCAUAGGUAGUUUUUCAUGCACCAUCACUCGAUCUUCGUACUUCAACACUGAUUCUAAUCCUAACACAUUGGGGUGACCCAUUCUCAUCACCUUAUCGCACGUGGAGAGCACUUUAUCAUCACUUCGGAGUCUUCACAGUCUACAAGGCAACGUCUCUGUUGUCGGUUCAUCAAAAUUCUUGAAGCCCGGCAAGAAAUCUUCAAAUGGUGGCUUCGUAGGAGCUUCAUACGUGUCUACACUAGACUAUGAUCAUAUGGUUGGCGAAAGUCUAGUGUAGUCACGUUUGAAGCUCCUGCAUAGCCACCAUUUGAAGGCUUCUCGCCGGGCUUCAAGCAUUCCGAUGGACCGAUGACAGAGACGUUACCUUAUAGUCUGUCAAAACUUCAAAGUGAUGAUAACGUGCUCUCAACGUGCGAGAAGGUGACGAGAAUGGGUCACCCCUACGUAAUAGGAUUAAAAUCAGUGUUGGAGGACGGAGAUUGGGUGAUGGUGCAUGAAAACUGCCCAUGACACUAGUGGAUUACUUUGUUGGCAACGUGAAGGAUUUCCUCACAGGUCAUUGGUUCGAUUAUUUCUAUGUCGCUCCAUUGUUUUAGCAACUUAUGAGGUAUAUCCAAUAUUUAUACUAACGGAUAGAUAAUUAGGCAUUGUCAUAUAGUAGUAUUAUGUAUUAUAUAUGGUAGUUGUCAUGAUUCAUCUCACAUUUAUGCAAUUAUAAGUAGAAGUAUCUAGAUGAUAAACUAAUAUUUUUCUUAUAUCAAUAUGCAUGACAUGAUUCUUUCUAGCAUGCAUCACUGUCCAUUUUUUUUAAGGCUUUUGUGUCAACAUAUUCAUAGCGAUCAUCUCCGUGUCUAUCACUACAUUGGGUUUUCAUGUCAUUAUCUUCUUAUUUUAGGAGGUGUCUUGCAUCUUGUUGACUGAUAUGGUAGUUUGGCCAAAUUUGGUUAUUUGAAGUCGUAUUAUUUUGUUUCUUACAUGUUUGUCUGCAUGGAUCUGAUUUUGGCUUUUAAAGAGUUCCAUGAUAUUGGUCUUAUGCUCUUGCCGUCACUAUCAUGUCUUUACAUAUAUCUUGGUACUAGAGUGACGGUUUCUUUAAAGGUAUCACUAUUGAAAUGUAAGUCUUACUCUUCUAACAACUCAAGUACUCCUCCUAUUGACUUAUUAAUUAUAUUUUUCUUUUAUGAAUUUUGAACAUAAUGUAUUUUCUUUGUGAUGGUAAUUGUGUAGAUUCCUCACCUUAUUCUCUCACUUUACAUGUGGCAUCGUCAUGAGGACUCUCAUUCAGUCGUAUAUUGCUAGUGUGUCAGAGUGAGGAUUUCAUGGAGAGAGCUGUGACAGGGCGAUGGUGAUAAGAAACUAGAUUUUCUGUUCUAAUAGUACAUGGUAGGCUAGGUAAGUUCCAACCCAAGUUAGUACUUAUUUAUGGGGUCUUUGUUUGGCCAUUAAACUAGUUCAUGCUUAUACAUACUAUAUUGAAGUGGAUUUGCACGUGUUAUUUUUCUUUUCUUCCAACACAUGCAGUCUUCUAGAGAAUUAAUUUUUGUGGUGUAAUUAACUGCCAAAGAGACAAAAGGGCUUAAGCACUCCUAUUUGCACAACACCAGGUGACCAGCUGAGAGUCCUAACCUAAUCUCUGGGGGGAGAGUUGUAUAUCAUUCUCACUCCAAAGUUGAACACCCAAUUAGUCAUUCUAACGAUUCUAUUUUUUUUAAAUAUAGUUGUUUGAAUCGUACGAUGCGUAUUGUACGAAUUGAUACAGUGGCCUAGGAUCCUUUGUCACAACUCCUUGUUUCCACUCUUUCCCAGCCCUCAAAAUGCGACACAUUCCCGUCACUAAGAAAAACUAAAAGGUCACACCACACCCAAUCCCUCCUUUGUCAUCUCCCCUGCUAUGUUUGCCCAAAAAUUUCAUGGACUGACAAACGGCUGCCGUUGCGACACCAUCUCUCUGGACGGCCACUCCGUGUCGAUCUCCCCCCCUCCCUGUCCCCCUCCACCACAAUAUCCUCACUUCUGAAAUGUGAACUCUCUCUCUCUCUCUCAGACACACACACACACACACAACGAAUGAACCAACAGUAGAUGAACUGCAGUUCAAAAAAAAAAGGAAUCAGUAGAUGAACACAUGUUUGCAUUUGCCUAUGGUUUCGUAUUCAGAUCUUUUCACCAAUUUUAUGUCUUAGUUUUUAAUAUUCUAGCAAUUCCUUCUCGGAUAAUGAAAAAUCAAGGGAGGGCUAUUGCAUCUGGUUUUUAAAUUGAUGAAUUCGAGUUUUGCUUUUGUAACUUGGGGUUUGUAGGGGCUAAGCAGAUGAGGGCAUUGACAAGGGUGGUGAUGAUAUGCCUUAGAAAGCAUUGGGUUUUCACAGUAUUGAAAAGAUUAGCUGUGGUGUGACCUUUAGUUUUUGCCUGUGAGCAGAUACGUGUUGCUUGUUGAGCAUGGGAUAGAGAGCGGGGCCAGAGGAUCCCAGGCCUGAUUCAGUGCGUAAUCGAUACGAAUAGGCUACAUAAAUCGGAAAUAGCUGUGAGUCGUACGUGAAUCGGUGAUGCAAGAGUUGGCUGAUUGACUACAAAGGAAUUGCAAACAAAGUGAAAACUGCUGGUCUACCUCUUGCAUAACAAAUCAAAGACGGGAUCGAAUCAUGAAUGCCCAAAAUGCCAUUAUCGCGUUGACAGUACCACCAACAUGGGACUUUUCGCAAUAUUGGUGUUUCACAGAAUGAGUUUUCCGGUUUCUCAAACAUUGCCUGGAUUGCCUACUGGUGUGAUUUGAUCCAUCAGAAAUAGAGCUCUUAGAACAUUUAGCUGCAAAAUGCGGAGUGGGAAAUUUGGAACUGCAUAUGUUCAUUGAAGAGCUCAUCCCAACAGUCGACCAAGAGGAAGGAAUAUGCUAUACCCAUCCGGAAAAUCUCCCUGGAAGCCAAGCUUGUCAAAGAAGCAUCUCGUCCUUUCAUCCUCUGAUCCUCCAUCCAAGAAUGAUAUGGAGACUUACACUUCGUUGGCAAGUGAAUCACAAGCUACUGAUGGCAACGACAUGGAUCAUGACUCAUUGUUAUACAAUGAGAUUUGGGAUUCCUAUGUUGCCCUCGAUGAUUCCAGACUAAAUGAUGGUCCUUUGAUGUUCACAUAAUAACUACAAGAGAUAAAAAUCCACAUGUCGAAUUGCUGAUCUUGCGAACCUAGAAUUUAAUACCCCUCUUGGUUCCCAACAACUUGGAGCUUACUCUUGACGGGAGAUCGCAAAAUGGUUAAGCUGGCGGAUUUCGGUUUGGCAAGGACGAUUCAUGAACAGAGAUGACUGCCGAAACCGGGACUUAUCGUUGGAUGGCUCCCCCGAGGUACAAUUUUGAAUGGUGCACAUCUUUCCUCUUAGGAAAAAGUCCAAGGAAAACACAGAAGGCAAGCACAGACUGGGCUCGCUAUAUGGGCUUCAGCGAACGGCAUGACUGUCCGAGCAGCCCACUUGCGUUCAGCCCAAACAUGCCACCCCAGUGAAGUGGGCUGCCCGUAUCAGGCCCAAUGUCUUGUGAGAUUCGGCCUGCUACACUUGAUGUUUUAAUCCAAUCCAUUAAAUAGAUAGAAGAAGAUUUAAAAAAAAAGGGGAUUCCAAAGCCAAAGUGAUGGUAGCAUGACUGUUUUUUGAAUUCAGAUUGUCGGUGUUGCAUUAAGUAAAAACCAUUUGCGAAACGUAUCGCAAAUAAGUUUGAUGAAUUGCUUCUUCUGCUGUUUGGAGCAGAAUUGAAAUCUUAGCAAUGUGUAAUUGUAGUUCAAA